CAUGUGGAUAACAUAGAAAGUAUAAUGGGUUAAUAUAAGCUAGAAGAGCUAAUAAGAAGCCCGAGGUAAUGGGCCAAUUAGUUUAUAAUCUUAUGGAGACCUCUGUGUUAUUUUCUUUGGGGCUACCGGCUGUGGGAACCGGACAGGAUUGAAACCCCAACAAGCAGGCCCUCAUGCAAGAAACUGCUUUUGCCUGGACUGUUGCAUAAACUGGACAUAAACAACCCACAGAGAGAGGACUGUUGAACUUGCCUGAAGCCUCAUUUACAGCAGAUCCUAGGCCUGAGUCAUCGCCAGGAGGAAUCUCAGAACUUUCACCAUGUGGCCCCAGCCUGCACAAAAUGUGGUGCUUGGUCAACGGAGGAGCUGUGAUGGAAAGUUCUGAAGAGGAGCUGUGUCUGCUGUGAUCAGAACGCCAGGGAGGAGUCUUGUCUGCAGAGACUGACGGUCUGAUAGGACUUUCAGUUCUAUAGAGAGACAGGAAUGGAGCAGGUUGAGAGGCUAAAUACAUCUUGAGCUGGUUUUAGUGUCUGGAAGGGCCACUCCUUGUACCACUCUGAACACACAUCUGAAGAUGAUGAGGGUAAUCAGGAGGCGGAGGAAGAAGAGGAAGAGGGUCAUGCUGCUGAUUCCUGUUAGAAGCUUUUAAUUCAGCAGCAAAUAACUUACACUAAUCCAAGAACUAGAAAGUCAUUAAACAACAUCUUGGGAUUAUAAAAUGGUUCUCUUUUCUCAUUGUACCCAUUUCUCUGGUCUACCUACCAAUGUAUUUUAAAUUUCCUUCAUAUUUUAAUUUGCUCAAUAAAAUUUUAUAGAAAAAGGAAGGUAUAAAACCUAUAUGAAACAGCUUCUGAGUUGGAACAUAGAAUGUGCGACACCUAAUUCUGUGUUCCCAGGCCAUGGUCUCUCAAUGGCUCCAGAAUAAAUGCUCUGUUGUUCUUUAGA